GGUGUAGGGACAUUAAACUAUCGGAACAGACACUAAUCUUACAGAGAAGAUUAGCAUGGCCCCUGAACAAGGAUGACAUGCAAAUUCAUGAAGUGUUCCAUAUAUUU